CAGCCGCCGCGGUAAAACAGAGGGUGCGAGCGUUAAUCGGAUUUACUGGGCGUAAAGCGUGCGUAGGCGGCUUCUUAAGUCGGAUGUGAAAUCCCUGAGCUUAACUUAGGAAUUGCAUUCGAUACUGGGAAGCUAGAGUAUGGGAGAGGAUGGUAGAAUUCCAGGUGUAGCGGUGAAAUGCGUAGAGAUCUGGAGGAAUACCGAUGGCGAAGGCAGCCAUCUGGCCUAAUACUGACGCUGAGGUACGAAAGCAUGGGGAGCAAACAGGAUUAGAUACCCCCGUAGUCCCUGUCUCUUAUAC
rnacentral:rRNA from 1 species